AAAACGACUGCUAAGACUGGAUAGGAGACAAGAAGGCAUCUUCUUGUUUUUAAAAGACCUAGCAAUAGGUAUGCUUAGGGAGGAGCUUGCGUCACAUUAGUUAGUUGGUGGGGUAAAGGCCUACCAAGACUAUGAUGUGUAGCCGGGCUGAGAGGUUGAACGGCCACAUUGGGACUGAGACACGGCCCAAACUCCUACGGGAGGCAGCAGUAGGGAAUUUUCGGCAAUGGAGGAAACUCUGACCGAGCAACGCCGCGUGAACGAUGAAGUAUUUCGGUACGUAAAGUUCUUUUAUUAGGGAAGAAUAAAUGAUGGAAAAAUCAUUCUGACGGUACCUAAUGAAUAAGCCCCGGCUAACUAUGUGCCAGCAGCCGCGGUAAUACAUAGGGGGCAAGCGUUAUCCGGAAUUAUUGGGCGUAAAGGGUGCGUAGGCGGUUAAAUAAGUUUAUGGUCUAAGUGCAAUGCUCAACAUUGUGAUGCUAUAAAAACUGUUUAGCUAGAGUAAGAUAGAGGCAAGUGGAAUUCCAUGUGUAGUGGUAAAAUGCGUAAAUAUAUGGAGGAACACCAGUAGCGAAGGCGGCUUGCUGGGUCUUUACUGACGCUGAGGCACGAAAGCGUGGGGAGCAAACAGGAUUAGAUACCCUGGUAGUCCACGCCGUAAACGAUGAGUACUAAACGUUGGGUAAAACCAGUGUUGAAGUUAACACAUUAAGUACUCCGCCUGAGUAGUACGUACGCAAGUAUGAAACUUAAAGGAAUUGACGGGACUCCGCACAAGCGGUGGAUCAUGUUGUUUAAUUCGAAGGUACCCGAAAAACCUCACCAGGUCUUGACAUGCUUCUGCAAAGCUGUAGAAACACAGUGGAGGUUAUCAGUUGCACAGGUGGUGCAUGGUUGUCGUCAGCUCGUGUCGUGAGAUGUUGGGUUAAGUCCCGCAACGAGCGCAACCCUUAUUGUUAGUUACCAGCACGUAAUGGUGGGGACUUUAGCAAGACUGCCAGUGAUAAAUUGGAGGAAGGUGGGGACGACGUCAAAUCAUCAUGCCCCUUAUGACCUGGGCUACAAACGUGAUACAAUGGCUGUUACAAAGGGUAGCUGAAGCGCAAGUUUUUGGCGAAUCUCAAAAAAACAGUCUCAGUUCGGAUUGAAGUCUGCAACUCGACUUCAUGAAGUUGGAAUCGCUAGUAAUCGCGAAUCAGCAUGUCGCGGUGAAUACGUUCUCGGGGUUUGUACACACCGCCCGUCAAACCACGAAAGUUGGCAAUACCCAAAGCCGGUGGCC
rnacentral:rRNA from 1 species